GGUGUCUGCACCAUUCCCGUGUGCAGCAACGAUGAGGGGUGCCCCCAACAGUGCAUAGGCAGCGCAGGGGGGAAUUUAAGAACGAGAUUGGCGGAGCAUAGGAGGGAUAUCGCGCAGGGAAAGCUUAGUGCAGCUUUAGCAGGGAGGUUGUAUGAGCAACAUAUCACUGUAAAGUGGAAUGAUGCCAAAAUUGUCCGACAGGUCUUCAGCCUUAGCAUCGCGGAGGCUGUUGAGAUUGAACGAAGAGGAGCUCGGAUGCCUGUUAUUAAUGAUAAUUUGCCGCUCGACCUGACACCUGCGUGGAUUUGGGUGUUAAGAAAGGGGAUGUGGGUUCCCCGCAUAUGUGUGAUCUGUAAAUAUGGUCGAUCUUGGCAUCUGUCAAUGUUGUCUAUGUCGGUAGUGAGCUGUGUUGUGUUCGAGUGUGUGAUAUAUAAUACGUGUGGUUGUGGCUAUAAUCUUAUUUUUAAUGUUAUUUUUAUUUUAUUUUAUUUAUGUUUGUAUACCUG
rnacentral:lncRNA from 1 species